rnacentral:rRNA from 1 species
CCUACGGGAGGCAGCAGUGAGGAAUAUUGGUCAAUGGACGAGAGUCUGAACCAGCCAAGUAGCGUGAAGGAUGACUGCCCUAUGGGUUGUAAACUUCUUUUAUAUGGGAAUAAACUGUUCCACGUGUGGGAUUUUGUAUGUACCAUAUGAAUAAGGAUCGGCUAACUCCGUGCCAGCAGCCGCGGUAUACGGAGGCUCCGGGCGUUAUCCGGAUUUCUUGGGUUUAAAGGGAGCGUAGGCGGAGUGGUAAGUCGGUUGUGAAAGUUUGCGGCUCAACCGUGAAAUUGCAGUUGAAACUGGCAUGCUUGAGUACAGUAGAGGUGGGCAGAAUUCGUGGUGUAGCGGUGAAAUGCUUAGAUAUCACGAAGAACUCCGAUUGCAAAGGCAGUUCACUGGACUGCAACUGACACUGAGGCUCGAAAGUGUGGGUAUCAAACAGGAUUAGAUACCCUAGUAGUC